AUGUUUACAGCCCCUGCAGACUCCGAAUGGUUCCUCAUCACCCAGGCGGUGGCUGAAGAGGCUUGGCUCCAGCAUUCCUGUCCUGAUCUACCCACACGAAUGUCUUUGAACCACCUUUGUCCUAGCCCCUACCACCACCUGGCUUCCCUCCUGCCUCCUUCCCUCCGCCUACGGCCUGCCCCAGGGCUCAGGCCCUAUAAAAAAGUGCAGGAUCCGAUCCAGUGGAAACCCAGAGGUUGGACCAGCUGCCCAGUGCAAGAGUGCGGGACAGCUAACUGCACCCCAAAGCAGCCACUCCAGGGCCCCACUGCGUGCCCAGAGACCGUGAGCCCAUGUCGCUGCGCCGCGUAGGCCUGGGCCCCUCCUGCGGCCCACCCUAGCAGAAGCAAGACGCUCGGUCCGUUUCUGCGCUUUCGCAUUUGGGUUGUGAAAACCGCAGCUAGCUGUAACGAGCGACCAAGAUGAGGAGCAACAAUCUGGGAAGGAAUCCCGUCCCGAACCCGGGUCCCAGGGGCGCGCGGCACCACUACGCACCACGCAGGGAGGCGCAACCCGCUGGGGAGCGCGCGNNNNNNNNNNNNNNN
rnacentral:lncRNA from 1 species